UACGUAGGGCGCAAGCGUUAUCCGGAAUUAUUGGGCGUAAAGAGCUCGUAGGCGGUCUGUCGCGUCGGCUGUGAAAACCCGGAGCUCAACUCCGGGCCUGCAGUCGAUACGGGCAAACUGGAGUGUUGCAGGGGAGACUGGAAUUCCUGGUGUAGCGGUGAAAUGCGCAGAUAUCAGGAGGAACACCGGUGGCGAAGGCGGCUCACUGGCUCAUUACUGACGCUCAGGCGCGAUAGCGUGGGGAUCAAACAGG
rnacentral:rRNA from 1 species